rnacentral:tRNA from 2 species
GGUUUUAUAGUCAAUUAUGAUUUAAAAUUGCAAAUUUUAAGGUAUAAUAAAAAUUAUUAAGGCUU